CUGAAUCUUCUGAUGCCGAUUUCCCCAAGCUCCAUGAUUCACGAGUUACAACAAAUUAGUGGGAUAACGUUGCCUUUUCAAUCAACUGCGAUGACUUAAGAAAAAGUAAAAAGCGGGUACCUUUGAAAACUAUUGAAAAUUUGGGUGAAAGAUACAAUGUACUGGGUAGUACUCACCGAAGUUUAAAUUUCAUCAUUUCAACUACUUAUGGCGUACACAAACCCAUAUAAAAAAGAAAACAGAAAUCAAUUUAAAAUCAAUGCAUUCAUCACUCCGCUCGGCGCUCAUAAUCUAAAACUGGCUUUUAUAAGUAUUAAUAUUCGAUAAUUUUAAUAUACAUUAUUUAUGCGAUAGUAUAUGCCAUUCUAUUAAAUAUAGUGCAUUGACUCCAUUAACCUUUCUUUACAACAUUGUUAACAUGUUCAUGUCAAAGUUUUUAGCAAAACUCCAAUUAGGUUACAGAGGUGCAUAACCAAUAUACCACUAGGCACUAAAAUCCAAACAUUUAUAUUUUUGCAAAUAUUUAGCUUAUCUUAGGCACUAAUGCACUAUUCUUUGGAUAUAAAAAUUUAAUUGAUAUACAGUGUGAUCACGAUAAGCAAUUUCUUGAAAUUUAGCAUAAUAUUAUACUGAAUAUGUUAUAACAGUAAUUUGAGUUCUGUUUUUUUUUACUUACUAAUAAACAUAGUUAUACAAAUUUUCAAAUAAUUAAGCUAUUUUUUUGUGACACUUACAUUCGCUCAUGCGUAAAACUUUUUUUAAAGCCAUGUCAAAUUUUUGACCAUAAAUUAUCUUCUUCUAUAUUUUUUAAUGAAUUUCAGUAGUAGAAUUUCGGGGUCCCAUCUUUUUGAAAUAUUAAAUGGUCAAUAUUUCAUUAAUUUUUAAACUAUUUUGACAGUAUUUCUACAAACAGAAGUUAUAUAGUGGAAAAAAUUCAUAAUAGACAUUAGAAUACUAAUCACAUUUUAUAAAUUUUUAAUUUAUAAUUUUAAUUAUUAAAUAAAUUUAUAUUUAUAACGAAUAUUAAAUUACUUUUGGUCUCAUCAAGACGCUUGCACUAAAUUUUACACAAAUAGUAAAACAUUGUUUAUUUUUAUAUUUUAAUACUGAAAAUAAAAAAAUUUAAAUCUGAAGCUAACUUUUUUUGAAAAAUUUAAAAUACCAAAUUUUUAAACAUUUUUUUAAGAAACAUGUUGAUUGCUUAUAUAUGUGGUUCAGUCAAACAUACUUAAUAUUUUACAACCUAAAUAAAUAGCCUUCAUAACAGUUUAACAUUUGGUGAUAAUUUCAAGUAGUUACUAUAAAAAUUGGUUUUAUUCUGUCUAUAUGCAAUAUGCUAAUUUUUUCUAUUUUUCCAAGUUUAAAAAAAAAUGCUUGGAAUUUAAGAAAACACCAUUUAUAAUUA